AUGUUGAUAGUAUAGCAGUACAAUUGCCUUCCAAGCAAAAAGUCCAAUUUUGGCCAACAUA
rnacentral:tRNA from 1 species